AGCGAACGUUAGCGGCGCGCCUAACACAUGCAAGUCGCACGAGAAAGGGAGCAAUCCCCGGUACAGUGGCGCACGGGUGAGUAACACGUAGAUGACCUUCCCUGGAGUGGUGGAUAACCUGCCGAAAGGCGGGCUAAUACAGCAUGGGACCACAUGGUUUUGACCGAGUGGUGAAAGCGGGCCUCUGUUCACAAGCUCGCGCUCUGGGAUGGGGUCUGCGUCCCAUCAGCUAGUUGGUGAGGUAAUGGCUCACCAAGGCAUCGACGGGUAGCUGGUCUGAGAGGAUGACCAGCCACACUGGAACUGAGACACGGGUCCAGACUCCUACGGGAGGCAGCAGUGGGGAAUCUUGCGCAAUGGGCGAAAGCCUGACGCAGCGACGCCGCGUGGGUGAUGAAGGCCUCGGUUGUAAGACC
rnacentral:rRNA from 1 species